rnacentral:rRNA from 1 species
UCGGCUUAGAGUUUGAUCAUGGCUCAGAUUGAACGCUGGCGGCAGGCUUAACACAUGCAAGUCGAACGGUAAAGUAGCUUGCUACUUACGAGUGGCGGACGGGUGAGUAACGUAUGGGAAUUUACCGAAUGGAGGGGGACAACAGUUGGAAACGGCUGCUAAUACCGCAUAACGUCGAGAGACCAAAGGGUUCGCUUGCCAUUUGAUGAGCCCAUAUGAGAUUAGCUAGUUGGUGUGGUAAUGGCUCACCAAGGCGACGAUCUCUAGCUGGUUUGAGAGGAUGACCAGCCACACUGGGACUGAGACACGGCCCAGACUCCUACGGGAGGCAGCAGUGGGGAAUAUUGCACAAUGGGGGGAACCCUGAUGCAGCCAUGCCGCGUGUAUGAAGAAGGCCUUAGGGUUG